UACGAAGGGGGCUAGCGUUGCUCGGAAUCACUGGGCGUAAAGCGCACGUAGGCGGCUUUUUAAGUCAGGGGUGAAAUCCUGGAGCUCAACUCCAGAACUGCCUUUGAUACUGAGAAGCUCGAGUCCGGGAGAGGUGGAGUGGAACUGGCGAGUGUAGAGGUGAAAUUCGUAGAUAUUCGCAAGAACACCAGUGGCGAAGGCGGACUUACUGGCCCGGUACUGGACGCUGAGGUGCGAAAGCGUGGGGAGCAAACAGGG
rnacentral:rRNA from 1 species